GUAAGUAUUACACAUUACAUUUAUAUCCAACAUGUAAAGUAAAAUUUUUGUCUUGCUGUAAAAUUUCAUAAUGAAAACUUUUAACAGUCUGCUGAAUUUUUCAAGUGUUUCUAGGUUAUAGUUUGAUUUCAUUCUUCAAACUACAGGAAAAUAAUUAUUUAAUGUAAUUCUUUUUUACAGUAUAACCAGAAUAUAAUGGAUGUUUACAUUCACAAAAGUUACUUCCCUUUGCUGAGUUAAUUAAGCUGGACAUAUAGCCAACCCAGUGUGGUUGUUGGAAUAGAUGGCGACUUGUCCUGCCACUGGUGUAGGAAGCUUCUCUUCAAUGGCUCGGUUGUGAAGACGACAGCAGCAUUCAAUAAUCCUGACACACUUUGCAGGGGUGUAUGCCAAAGCUCCUCCUGUUUUGUGCAGACAUCUGAAACAAGACUUAAGGACCCCAAAGGCCCUCUCCACACAAUUCCUAGUCUUGAUGUGGCUUUUGUUAAACUUCUCCUCCUGUCUUGCCUGAGGAGCCAGAAUGGGUGUCAUUAGCCAGGGUCUGAGAGGAUAUCCACUGUCACCC